UCUCCGUUCCGGGUCGGGGUUGUCGGGCCGCACGGUAAAUAGUGAGAACACAUGACACUAUUUUACUGGCGUCCGAACGUAAAGCUACGUCAGGUGACCGGACCAAAUAAAAGUUCCACGUAGGGCGAGUUCCUAGAGUGUAUGCUGGUGAGUGACGUCCUCUCUUCGAACGGAUUUCCCCAUGAAUUCGGUAGGGCAUUUUAUCCCCGAGAAAGAAUAUUCUUGCUAUGACCCAACCAAUACAUGUAAAAUGUGAAGACAACUAAAGACUAAAGGUGUGUACAAUGAAUGUUGAAAAUUUUCAUUAAUAAUUGUUAUAAUUGAUCCCAUCCCAUUAGUUCCCGACCUAUUUAUUAUACUAUGUUGAUAUUGGAAUUCACUGACGUUUUCUUUUCAAUUUUUUUGUUCUCUUGAAUUCAUUGAUGUUAAAUGAUGGCAAAAGAAAUUUAUUAAUGCUUUCACUGCAAAAUUUGAAUACUUUGUUUCCUCGCGUUUCUUAUUUUUGCAGUUGGUUAGUUGCUUCAACAACUGCCGCUUCUUUUACGGCCUACCUAAAACAGUACCUUCACAGGAGAGCGCUGGCCUAAACGAAAAUUAAAUAUUAGGCAGGUAUUAAAGGGCUUGGAGAUGUAUUCUUGAACACCCUAAGGAAGACAUUAAUUUAAUCUUAACCCAAAAUUUCAAAUGGUUA